rnacentral:rRNA from 1 species
UUCCGUAGGUGAACCUGCGGAAGGAUCAUUACCGAGUGUAGGGUUCCUAGCGAGCCCAACCUCCCACCCGUGUUUACUGUACCUUAGUUGCUUCGGCGGGCCCGCCAUUCAUGGCCGCCGGGGGCUCUCAGCCCCGGGCCCGCGCCCGCCGGAGACACCACGAACUCUGUCUGAUCUAGUGAAGUCUGAGUUGAUUGUAUCGCAAUCAGUUAAAACUUUCAACAAUGGAUCUCUUGGUUCCGGCAUCGAUGAAGAACGCAGCGAAAUGCGAUAACUAGUGUGAAUUGCAGAAUUCCGUGAAUCAUCGAGUCUUUGAACGCACAUUGCGCCCCCUGGUAUUCCGGGGGGCAUGCCUGUCCGAGCGUCAUUGCUGCCCAUCAAGCACGGCUUGUGUGUUGGGUCGUCGUCCCCUCUCCGGGGGGGACGGGCCCCAAAGGCAGCGGCGGCACCGCGUCCGAUCCUCGAGCGUAUGGGGCUUUGUCACCCGCUCUGUAGGCCCGGCCGGCGCUUGCCGAACGCAAAACAACCAUUCUUUCCAGGUUGACCUCGGAUCAGGUAGGGAUACCCGCUGAA